UACGGGGGGGCAAGCGUUGUUCGGAAUUACUGGGCGUAAAGGGCUCGUAGGCGGCCAACUAAGUCAGACGUGAAAUCCCUCGGCUUAACCGGGGAACUGCGUCUGAUACUGGAUGGCUUGAGUUUGGGAGAGGGAUGCGGAAUUCCAGGUGUAGCGGUGAAAUGCGUAGAUAUGCGGAGGAACACCGAUGGCGAAGGCAAUCCCCUGGGCCUGCACUGACGCUCAUGCACGAAAGCGUGGGGAGCAAACAGG
rnacentral:rRNA from 1 species